CGCGCACGUAGUGCGCGCGGUCCGCGUCGUGGAUGCCCCAGACUUCCGCCAGCAAUUGACGGGCGGCGAUCACGCCGCCGCGUGCGCGG
rnacentral:tRNA from 1 species